UACGUAGGGUGCAAGCGUUAAUCGGAAUUACUGGGCGUAAAGCGUGUGCAGGCGGCUUUGCAAGACAGAUGUGAAAUCCCCGGGCUUAACCUGGGAACUGCAUUUGUGACUGCAUGGCUGGAGUGCGGCAGAGGGGGAUGGAAUUCCGCGUGUAGCAGUGAAAUGCGUAGAUAUCCGGAGGAACACCGGUGGCGAAGGCGGCUUCCUGGACCGAUUACUGACGCUGAGGCGCGAAAGCUAGGGGAGCAAACGGG
rnacentral:rRNA from 1 species